UCCGCCCGAACUACCCCCAAAACCGUCGAACCGCCACCUGCUGAAACCGAAGAUGCAUUUGGACGGGAAUAAUUUGUGAUAUCGAAUUCGUCGAUUUUGGACAGAUUUGCAUUUUGAGCCCGAACCCCGUCCAAAACCAGCCGUUGUCCACCCCUAAUCUAAACCAUACAAAUAAAGUUUCACCUCUUAUUUCUCACCUUCAUGCAACCCUAACAUCUCCCCACAAACACUUUCAGGGUACAAAAGUAAUCUCACAUAUCAUCCACGUUAGCUGUUCAACCAAACCACACUUCAUCCUAUAAAUACCAAACCACUGUAUUAUUUUCAAAUAAUCGCAGACUCACGAAAGAGAAAUUCCCGAGAAAGUGAGAGAAACUGCAAGAAAAAGAGAGAGAAAUAGAAAGAGAGUAACUGUGUCAGUGUCUCCAUAAUCAGAAACUUCAAAACCAAAAAGGACACUGCAAAAAUGGCGUAAACAGUUUCAAAACAAAUUAUCACCACCGCGCUUUUUUUCUCUUUCUCUCAAUUUCUUAAUGUCGUUUUCAUCCUAAGCUACCGUGCACGACAUGAAUCGGUUAGGGUUAAAAGUUGAAGUGUUUGAAGGCGACGCGCGUUUGGGCGAACUCGAUUAUUUUCCAGUAAUCGCUUUUCAGAAUUUUCGAUUCCCAAACAACGAGAUUCACAUCCAUCAUAGAACUUUCCGUAGUGAACGUUGUCCUCCUCUUUCGAUUCUUCAAUCUGUUUCCGCUUUCAAUGUUCGAUGUAAACUCGAUUCAUCGCUUUCUGUUGAACAACCGCUUUUGAUUAAUCUUCAUGCUUCGAUGUUCCAUGAAAUGAAGACGGCGGUGGCGGUGAUUGGAGACGAAGAGCUUCAUUUAGUGGCGAUGCCGAGCAAACGGAAGAAGUUUCCAUGUUUUUGGUGCUAUACAGUUCCGGCUAGACUUUAUGAUGCGUGUAUGGGGAUGUUGAAUUUGAGGUGUUUAUCGAUUGUGUUUGAUUUAGAUGAGACUUUGAUUGUUGCGAACACGAUGAAGUCAUUUGAGGAUAGGAUUGAUGCGUUGCGGAGUUGGCUUUCGAGGGAGACUGAUCCGUCGAGGGUGCAGGGGAUGUCUGGUGAGUUGAAGCGGUAUUUGGAGGAUAGAUUGUUGUUGAAGCAGUUUGCUGAGAGUGAUUGUGUUGUUGAUGGGAAUGGGAGGCAGUAUCAGGUUCAAAUGGAGGAAGUGCCGUCUUUGUCUGAACAGAAAGUUAUGAGGCCUGUUGUUAGGUUGCAAGAUAGGAAUAUUGUUCUUACUCGAAUCAAUCCCGAGAUCCGUGACACUAGUGUACUAGUGAGGUUACGGCCUGCUUGGGAGGAUUUAAGAUGCUAUUUAACUGCAAAAGGACGCAAGCGGUUUGAAGUGUAUGUUUGUACUAUGGCUGAAAGGGAUUAUGCUUUGGAAAUGUGGAGGCUUCUUGACCCAGGGGCACAUCUUAUAGGUUCAAAGCAAGUUUUUGAUCGGGUUAUUUGUGUUAAAUCAGGCUCCCGGAAAUCUUUACUAAAUGUUUUUCACGAUGGUAUGUGCCAUCCAAAAAUGGCAAUGGUGAUUGAUGACCGUUCAAAGGUUUGGGAGGACAAGGACCAGCCUAGGGUUCAUGUCGUUCCCGCCUUUACUCCUUACUAUGCUCCUCAAGCAGAGACAGCCAAUGCCGUCCCAGUCCUAUGUGUAGCAAGAAAUGUUGCAUGCAAUGUCAGAGGUUGUUUUUUCAAGGAGUUUGAUGAAAACUAUUUACAAAGAAUUGCUGAAAUCUUCUUUGAAGACGAGGUUGGAAGUUUACCUCACCCUCCGGAUGUGAGCAGCUAUUUGAUGUCUGAGGAGGUACCAAAUGGUAAUGGUAAUGCCCCCAUCAGUGAAGGAAUGGCCGGAGCAGAGGUUGAACGGAGGUUAAACCAACCUGAUGAUAAGCUUUCUGCUGAUUUAGUCAGUCGGCCCAUGGUAAAUAGUGUUGAGUUCAGACAUGAAACCUCUCAGCCAACUGCUGGCAUAACUCCAAAUGUUGCUGGUCCUGGAUCUUCAAGGCCCCUGAUUCCUUCUCAGAAACCUGGUCUGCUUGGACCUCCACUCAAACAUGACGGCAGUUUUAUUGAUCGUGAUAAUGACAUGAAAAAAGGACUAUUAACUACGAGGCAUGGUCCAGAUUUAAGAGGUCAAAGUUCAGCUGAACCCCCUCUGAUAUCAAGGCCGCCCAUUCCAUCAUACGGAGGCUGGUUGGUAGAUGAUGAUAUAAGCAACAAAACUCAGACAAAUAAUUGGCCUUUUGCAUCUGCUAAAGAAUCCAAUUUGCCAAAGUCUGAAAAGCAUCAGGCUCAACCAAAACCCUUUUCUCAUAGAAUGGAAGUUUCAGCCUCCACUGUUCCGCUCUCACAAGCAUCAAAACUUAAGGCUGAAGAGGCAACUUCUGUAUCUGAUUUUCAGAGGCGAAAUAUUCCAUCUAAGUCUCGGCUAACAGAGGAUGUGAUAUCUCCGAAUCAUACAUCUUCUAAUAGCAAAGAUUUUCAAAAUGAAGUUGGAAAAUUUGACCCAUCUCUAUCUAUUGGAGUGCUGCAAGAAAUUGGGAAGCGGUGUUCCUCUAAGGUUGAAUUUAAGCCAAUUGUAAGCACCAGCAAAGACUUGCAGUUUUCAGUGGAGGUACUAUUCACUGGUGAGAAAAUCGGCUUUGGUAUGGGCAGGACAAGGAAGGAUGCUCAACAACAAGCUGCCGAGAAUGCCCUUCGCAGCUUAGCAGAGAAGUAUCUAGGACAUAUGGAGCCUCAAAGUAAAGCCGUUAAUACAGAAUUUGACAAGCUUUCUAUUGAACAUGAAAAUGGUUUCUUGUGGGAUGUGGUCAAUCCGGAAUCUGUUGAACUGCAGACAGAAGAUGGAUUACAAAGAGAAAGUGCUUCUGAGGUGGGGAAUUUUUAUGCUUUUGGUAGUUGAUUUAUGACCUGUUUUGAUUAAGGAAAUAGGUGAUGCUUGGAUAAGGGGUAAUGUGGACUAGAUAUUCCAGAUCGUGUAUGGAAUUGUGUAGCAUCAUGUGAAGACUGAAUCACUGAAUGUGGAGUGAACUGGCUUCAUUUCUUCUGCCACUGUCUUAGACAGGCUUCUUAAUUCCUACUUGAAAGGCUUCAGAUGCUGAGACCCUGCCAUUGAAUCCCAAUCCCAUCAAUCAGCAAAUAGAAAAACGUGCCAGCUUCCCAAGAACGCAUCAUUCUGUUUCCAGCAAACGAUUGAAGGAAUGAAUCUGUUGCUAAAUGAACAAGAAUAACCCAUCACUGCAGCAACUGAAGAAUGUAUGAUUCAUGAGACGGCAGUUUGGAGGCGAAAUGUUUCUAUCUAUGCCCUUUGCUCAUGUAAAACCUCUAGCAUAGCGGUUUUGGAUAUGCUGAGGGGAGACCUCCCCUUCGAAUUUCUGUUAUCAUGGAGAAGGGCAUUUUUUUUUCAAUUUUGCCCAACCAUAGCCAAAUUAUCAAUGUUGUAUUAGCUUGAUACAGUUAUUGUCUUUUUCUUUGUAAUUACUUUUCUUCUUUGUAGUUUAUCCACUACCGAUCUGAUGUGGUGGCUGAAUUUUUCUUGCUUCUAGGACAAAACUCCAUAUUGUAGCUUCUGCAUUCAUAAGUCACCCACUGCGAAACCAAACAAACAUGUUAUUAGUCUGUUUCCUCUGGGUUAGUUGUUCAUUAGGAAUAUACACAACCUAAGGAAAAUUUCCGAUGGAGGCAAAAUGUUUUUAUAGAUGUCCUUUGCUCAUGUAAAACCUCUAGCAUAGUGGUUUUAGAUGUGUCCCCGAUAAUUUCUGUUAUAUCAGAAGACAUCUUUUUUUGCCUGAUCAUUGUCUGUCUCGCUAAAUUUCAAUGUUGUAUUAGUUCGAUUUA